rnacentral:lncRNA from 1 species
AUGAUCUGUGUCAUUUUUAUUCUGCCUUCAGGGAAAGUGAUGAAGAAAUGGCUAUAUCUCAUAGAGAAUGAGAGAAGUUUUGCAGAAAAUGGCUGGAGAAAGGUCAAAUUUCUGUUUUUAGUGUUUCCUGGAGCUGUGCACCUGGGAAGCUUUUACUCCAUGUUUAUGACAGUUCAGCAAUGUCAGCUGUGGUUACUUGAGACACAGUGGUUAAACCUGACAUAGUCUGGGAUGUGCCACAAACUCCACAACCAUCCCGCAACCUCACAAUCCUUCUCAGAGUUAGUGCAGCGCAGUUAGCGGCACGCCAAAUUUACAAGCCAGGAGAGUUUGACAUCAGUGGGAGUCGUCUCAUAAAGGAGCGUACAACGUGACUCCAGAAGAGAGACGUGAAUUCCUCAAGCUCUUUGUAAAAUAAACAAAAUGUUGAUGUUUGUGGUGAGUUGAAC